rnacentral:rRNA from 1 species
AGUGAACGCUGGCGGUAGGCCUAACACAUGCAAGUCGAACGGCAGCACAGUAAGAGCUUGCUCUUACGGGUGGCGAGUGGCGGACGGGUGAGGAAUACAUCGGAAUCUACUUUUUCGUGGGGGAUAACGUAGGGAAACUUACGCUAAUACCGCAUACGACCUACGGGUGAAAGCAGGGGAUCUUCGGACCUUGCGCGAUUGAAUGAGCCGAUGUCGGAUUAGCUAGUUGGCGGGGUAAAGGCCCACCAAGGCGACGAUCCGUAGCUGGUCUGAGAGGAUGAUCGGCCACACGGAAACUGGGAAACGUCCCAGAUCCCAACGGGGGGAAGCGUGGGGAAAAAUUGGCCAAGGGGGGCAGGCCUAUUCCAGCCAAACCGGUUGGUUAAAGAAGGCUUCCGGUUUGUAAAGCCCUUUUUUUGGGAAAGAAAGGCGGCAGUUUAAAACCCCGCGUUUCGGACGUUACCCAAGGAUAAAGCACGGGCUAACUUCGU